GACGAACGCUGGCGGCGUGCCUAAUACAUGCCAGUUGAGCGAUGAAGAUUGGUGCUUGCACCAAUUUGAAGAGCAGCGAACGGGUGAGUAACGCGUGGGGAAUCUGCCUUUGAGCGGGGGACAACAUUUGGAAACGAAUGCUAAUACCGCAUAACAACUUUAAACAUAAGUUUUAAGUUUGGAAGAUGCAAUUGCAUCACUCAAAGAUGAUCCCGCGUUGUAUUAGCUAGUUGGUGAGGUAAAGGCUCACCAAGGCGAUGAUACAUAGCCGACCUGAGAGGGUGAUCGGCCACAUUGGGACUGAGACACGGCCCAAACUCCUACGGGAGGCAGCAGUAGGGAAUCUUCGGCAAUGGACGAAAGUCUGACCGAGCAACGCCGCGUGAGUGAAGAAGGUUUUCGGAUCGUAAAACUCUGUUGGUAGAGAAGAACGUUGGUGAGAGUGGAAAGCUCAUCAAGUGACGGUAACUACCCAGAAAGGGACGGCUAACUACGUG
rnacentral:rRNA from 1 species